rnacentral:rRNA from 1 species
CAGUCGCCACGGGAACACGUAGGUGGCAAGCGUUGUCCGGAAUUAUUGGGCGUAAAGCGCGCGCAGGCGGAUCGGUCAGUCUGUCUUAAAAGUUCGGGGCUUAACCCCGUGAUGGGAUGGAAACUGCCAAUCUAGAGUAUCGGAGAGGAAAGUGGAAUUCCUAGUGUAGCGGUGAAAUGCGUAGAUAUUAGGAAGAACACCAGUGGCGAAGGCGACUUUCUGGACGAAAACUGACGCUGAGGCGCGAAAGCCAGGGGAGCGAACGGGAUUAGAUACCCGUGUAGUCCCUGUCUCUUAUACA